CGAACGGCAGCACGGGGGCAACCCUGGUGGCGAGUGGCGAACGGGUGAGUAAUACAUCGGAACGUGCCCAAUCGUGGGGGAUAACGCAGCGAAAGCUGUGCUAAUACCGCAUACGAUCUACGGAUGAAAGCAGGGGAUCGCAAGACCUUGCGCGAAUGGAGCGGCCGAUGGCAGAUUAGGUAGUUGGUGAGGUAAAGGCUCACCAAGCCUUCGAUCUGUAGCUGGUCUGAGAGGACGACCAGCCACACUGGGACUGAGACACGGCCCAGACUCCUACGGGAGGCAGCAGUGGGGAAUUUUGGACAAUGGGCGCAAGCCUGAUCCAGCCAUGCCGCGUGCAGGAUGAAGGCCUUCGGGUUGUAAACCUCUGUCACCGGGGAAGAAACGCUUCAGUUUAAUAGACUGAAGCCUGACUUAACCCGGAGAGGAAGCAGUGGCUAACUCUGUGCCAGCAGCCGCGGUAAUACAGAGACUGCAAGCGUUAUUCGGAUUCACUGGGCGUAAAGGGUGCGCAGGCGGUUGAGUGUGUCAGAUGUGAAAUCCCGAGGCUCAACCUCGGAACUGCGUCUGAAACUACUCGACUAGAGUAUUGGAGAGGGUAACGGAAUUCACGGUGUAGCAGUGAAAUGCGUAGAUAUCGUGAGGAACACCAGAGGCGAAGGCGGUUACCUGGACAAUUACUGACGCUCAGGCACGAAAGCGUGGGGAGCAAAAGGGAUUAGAUACCCCUGUAGUCCACGCCCUAAACGGUGCACACUAGGUCUUGGCGGAUUUGACCCCACCAGGGCCCAAGCUAACGCGUUAAGUGUGCCGCCUGAGGACUACGGUCGCAAGACUAAAACUCAAAGGAAUUGACGG
rnacentral:rRNA from 15 species